rnacentral:tRNA from 1 species
GGGGUUGUAGUUCAGUGGUAGAACACUUGCCUGGCAUGUGUGAGGCGUUGGGUUCAAUCCUCAGCACCA